rnacentral:rRNA from 1 species
UACGUAGGGACCAAGCGUUGUUCGGAUUUACUGGGCGUAAAGGGCGCGUAGGCGGCCUUGUCAGUCAGACGUGAAAUCCCCAGGCUUAACCUGGGAACUGCGUCUGAUACUACAAGGCUUGAGUGCGGGAGAGGGAUGUGGAAUUCCAGGUGUAGCGGUGAAAUGCGUAGAUAUCUGGAGGAACACCGGUGGCGAAGGCGGCAUCCUGGACCGACACCGACGUUCAGGCACGAAAGCGUGGGGAGCAAACAGG